rnacentral:rRNA from 1 species
ACAACAGUUGGAAACGACUGCUAAUACCGCAUAAGCGCACAGCUUCGCAUGAAGCAGUGUGAAAAACUCCGGUGGUACAAGAUGGACCCGCGUCUGAUUAGCUGGUUGGUGAGGUAACGGCCCACCAAGGCAACGAUCAGUAGCCGGCCUGAGAGGGUGAACGGCCACAUUGGGACUGAGACACGGCCCAAACUCCUACGGGAGGCAGCAGUGGGGAAUAUUGCACAAUGGGGGAAACCCUGAUGCAGCAACGCCGCGUGAGUGAAGAAGUAUUUCGGUAUGUAAAGCUCUAUCAGCAGGAAAGAAAAUGACGGUACCUGACUAAGAAGCCCCGGCUAACUACGUGCCAGCAGCCGCGGUAAUACGUAGGGGGCAAGCGUUAUCCGGAUUUACUGGGUGUAAAGGGAGCGUAGACGGUUUUGCAAGUCUGAAGUGAAAGCCCGGGGCUUAACCCCGGGACUGCUUUGGAAACUGUAGAACUAGAGUGCAGGAGAGGUAAGUGGAAUUCCUAGUGUAGCGGUGAAAUGCGUAGAUAUUAGGAGGAACACCAGUGGCGAAGGCGGCUUACUGGACUGUAACUGACGUUGAGGCUCGAAAGCGUGGGGAGCAAACAGGAUUAGAUACCCUGGUAGUCCACGCCGUAAAC